rnacentral:lncRNA from 1 species
UUGUUUUUAAAUUAUCAUGCGAUUUUUGUUUUAAUCUCUUUUCAAAAUUUUGAUCCUUCUUCAUUCUUUUAUUUUUAGAAAGUCUCAUUUAAUUCUCCAUGAUUAAUGCCGUUUUUUUUUCUAACAAAACUAACAGUGUGCCAUGUCUUCAAGACAUGAGUACAUGUAAGUAAUGAACCUUAACAAUGUGGACCUUAAAAGCAUGCACUAGUAGAAAAACACUUUUUAACGUCGAUUAUUUUGGGCUUUUAACGUCAGAUCCCGAACCGACGUCUAAAGUGGGUGACGUUAAUGGGACGUUGGAACCAAUAGGUCAGACGUCAGACUAUAUAGGUCAGACGUCUAUAUAGACGUUGGACUCUACAGGUCAGACGUCUAUAUAGACGUUGGACUCUACAGGUCAGACGUCUAUAUAGACGUUGGACUCUACAGGUCAGACGUCUAAAGUGUUGUCGUAUUUGAUAGGAUCUUUCUCCGCUUGAGGCCUCUCGAGUUGCUCC